GAUACUGCCGGUGAUAAGCCGGAGGAAGGCGGGGAGGACGUCAAGUCCUCAUGGCCCUUUCGGCCUGGGCUCCACACGUACUCCAAUGCAGGUGACAAUGGGCAGCCAGAUUGCAAAGUCGAGCAAAUCCCUAAAAGCCACCUCAGUUCAGAUUGCAGUCUGCAACUCGAGUGCAUGAAGUUGGAAUCGCUAGUAAUCGUGGAUCAGCAUGCCACGGUGAAUACGUUCCCGGGUCUUGUACACACCGCCCGUCAAGCGAUGGGAGUUGGUUCCACCCGAAGCCGGGGCGCUAACCGCAAGGAAGCAGCCGUCCACGGUGGGAUCAGCGACUGGCGUUAAGUCGUAACAAGGUAGCCGUAUGGGAACGUGCGGCUGGAUCACCUCCU
rnacentral:rRNA from 1 species